UAUAAAGUNUNAUCUGCCCAAUGAGAAUUUGAAUGGCCGCGGUACUUUGACCGUGCAAAGGUAGCAUAAUAAUUAGUUUUUUAAUUGAAAGCUGGAAUGAACGAUUGAACGAGAAAAUGACUGUCUCAAUUUAAUUUAAUUAGAAUUUUAUUUUUAAGUAAGAAAGCUUAGAUAAAUUUAAAAGACGAGAAGACCCUAUAGAGUUUUAUAGUUUAUUUUAAAUUAAUUAUUUAGUAAUUUUAUAUUAAUUUAGAUUAAAUUAUUUUAUUGGGGUGAUAGAAAAAUUUAAUAAACUUUUUUUUUUAAUAUCAUUAAUUUAUGUUUAAUUGAUCCAAUAAUUUUGAUUAUAAGAUUAAAUUACCUUAGGGAUAACAGCGUAAUUUUUUUUUAGAGUUCUUAUCGAAAGAAGAGAUUGCGACCUCGAUGUUGGAUUAAAAUAAAAGUUUGGUGUAGGGGCUAAAUAUUUAGGUCUGUUCGACCUUUAAAAUUUUNC
rnacentral:rRNA from 1 species